rnacentral:rRNA from 1 species
AUUUUUAAUGGCCGCGGUAUUUUGACCGUGCAAAGGUAGCAUAAUCACUAGUUUUUUAAUUGAUAACUUGUAUGAAUGGUUUGACGAAGCAUUAACUGUCUCUUUUUUAUUUUUUGAAAUUAAAUUUUAAGUUAAAAUGCUUAAAUAUUUUUAUUGGACGAGAAGACCCUAUAGAUCUUUAUUUUUUAAAAUUUUAUUAUUUUUGGUUUAUUUUAUUUAAAUUUUUAAUUUAUUUUGUUGGGGUGACUUGAAGAUAUAUAUAACUCUUUAUAUUUUUUUACAUUUAUUUAUGAAUAUUUGACCUUAUUUUAUUGUUAUAAGAAUUAGAUACCUUAGGGAUAACAGCGUAAUUUUUUUUGAGAGUUCUUAUUGACAUUAAAGAUUGCGACCUCGAUGUUGGAUUAAGAUAAAAUUUAGGUGUAGUAGCUUGAAGUUGUUAGGUCUGUUCGACCUUUAAAUUCUUACAUGAUCUGAGU